AACGAACGCUGGCGGCAUGCCUAACACAUGCAAGUCGAACGAGACCUUCGGGUCUAGUGGCGCACGGGUGCGUAACGCGUGGGAACCUGCCCUUAGGUUCGGAAUAACUCCCCGAAAGGGGUGCUAAUACCGGAUAAUGUCUUCGGACCAAAGAUUUAUCGGCUUUGGAUGGGCCCGCGUUGGAUUAGCUAGUUGGUAGGGUAAAAGACUACCAAGGCGACGAUCCAUAGCUGGUGUGAGAGGAUGAUCAGCCACACUGGGACUGAGACACGGCCCAGACUCCUACGGGAGGCAGCAGUGGGGAAUAUUGGACAAUGGGCGAAAGCCUGAUCCAGCAAUGCCGCGUGAGUGAUGAAGGCCUUAGGGUUGUAAAGCUCUUUUACCCGGGAUGAUAAUGACAGUACCGGGAGAAUAAGCUCCGGCUAACUCCGUG
rnacentral:rRNA from 1 species